rnacentral:rRNA from 1 species
UACGAAGGGGGCUAGCGUUGCUCGGAAUCACUGGGCGUAAAGCGCACGUAGGCGGAUUGCUAAGUCAGGGGUGAAAUCCUGGAGCUCAACUCCAGAACUGCCCUUGAUACUGGCGGUCUCGAGUCCGGGAGAGGUGAGUGGAACUCCUAGUGUAGAGGUGGAAUUCGUAGAUAUUAGGAAGAACACCAGUGGCGAAGGCGGCUCACUGGUCCGGUACUGACGCUGAGGUGCGAAAGCGUGGGGAGCAAACAGG